CGAGCGAAGCGGGAAGAGCUCAAAUUUAUAAUCUGGCACCUUCGGUGUCCGAGUUGUAAUCUCUAGAAGUGUUUUCCGCGUUGGACCGCACACAAGUCUGUUGGAAUACAGCGGCAUAGUGGUGAGACCCCCGUAUAUGGUGCGGACGCCCAACGCUUUGUGAUACACUUUCGAAGAGUCGAGUUGUUUGGGAAUGCAGCUCAAAUUGGGUGGUAAAUUCCAUCUAAAGCUAAAUAUUGGCGAGAGACCGAUAGCGAACAAGUACCGUGAGGGAAAGAUGAAAAGCACUUUGGAAAGAGAGUUAACAGUACGUGAAAUUGUUGGAAGGGAAACGCUUGAAGUCAGACUUGCUUGCCGAGCAAUCGGUUUGCAGGCCAGCAUCAGUUUUCCGGGGUGGAUAAUGGUAGAGAGAAGGUAGCAGUUUCGGCUGUGUUAUAGCUCUUUGCUGGAUACACCUUGGGGGACUGAGGAACGCAGUGUGCCUUACGGCGGAUUUCUCGAGAUCUUCACACUUAGGAUGCUGGUGGAAUGGCUUUAAACGACCCGUCUU
rnacentral:rRNA from 1 species